ACUCCCUUCGCGAAAACUCCGCAAAAUUAAAACCUAGUCCAAAACUUCAAAACUCAUUUUCGCUGAAACUCACCUUCACCCCCUCCGUCCGCUGACUGACUCCCACCUCUCCACCGCUGGUCGGCCGACCGCCAUCCCUCACUCCAUCAUCUCCUAUCGAGCAGACACCCAACGUCAUCUUCCCGAUGCCAACACAAGUCGUUGCCUUCUUCUCUAUCUUCCUCCUUUCCUACAUCCGGCCAACCAACUCCUCUCUAUCACCGCCAGCGGAGCUACUUACUCUCAUCUCUCCUAUUUGGGUUAGAAGAGGAGAGGCGAUAGGUUCCUUCCGGUAGCCACCUCUCUUCCAUUCAUCAUCCGACAAUUUCUCCUCGAGUUAGAGGAGGAGGAACCAAAGCCUUCCCCUUUCUCUCUUCGGGUUAGAAGAGAGGAAACUCCACUUCUACUUCCAGUAAUCCCCUCUUCCACCGCCUCUCCUCUUCCUCAUCAGGCUCCAGAUUCACUUCCCCCUCAUCACCACCUCUACUCUUCCGGGUUAGGAAGAGGAGAGCUUCAUACCUACUACCGGCAACCCCCAUUCCCUCUCCACUUUGGGUUAGAAGUGGAGAGUCCAUUUCCUCCACUCCAGUAGCUCUUCAUUGUCUCCAGUAGCCCUCCAUCUUCCCUCUUUGGGUUAGAAGAGGGGAAGAGGUCACUUCCAGAUAGCCGCUACAUCCGAAGAUCCAUCCGCAACCGAAACAUCAUUCGCGUCUACGAUAUUAGAUUAUUUAUACUUGUGUUGGAUUGAGUUAUGCUUGUCAGUUGUUGUUUAUCUUUGUUAUGUGUUGAUGGUUUGAUUGAUUGUAUUAAAUUAUCCUUCUAUGUUAUGAUUGCAUGUACUUUGCUUAAUUUAAUUCAAGCUCACCAAAUGUUUGAUGAAAUAUCCCAACCAUUUGUCCUACUUUAGUUUGGCAUUUUAUUUAGCAUAGAUUCUUGCAAUGCUUUAUUAAUUUAAUGCUUCAUGUUUCUCUUAUGUUCAUGUCGUCAUUUGAAUGCAAUUAGGUUAGAUUAGAUAUUUCUUUAACGCUUUGCUUACUUUAUGUUACUUUUGUUUUUAAUUUUUAGUUUCUAUUUUUUUAAUGAAAUGAUAACUGAAUUAUUUAUAGAAAACAUUGACUUUCAUGGCAUAUAAAACAGUACAUGUUUUCAAUUGUAGACUUGUGUCGUUAUUGUUAGUAAACAUUGUGAAGGUUGUAAGGAUAAGAUCAAGAAGAAUGUGCAGAAGGUUCAAGGUAAGUUGUGGGGUUUAGAUAUACUUUAUUUGUUGUUUGACUGGGUUCAUGUGGUACAUGUGAGUGUCUUAAUAUUGGAAGUCAAAACUACCACAUGCUAUAAUAUUUAAACCCCAACAACCUUAUAAAUGUUUCAUUAGAGAAUCAUUUAAAGAUUUCCCUCAAUCAGCUUUGCUGUUGGUUCAAACUCUUCUUGCAAUAGAUCCAGCUGAAUGUCAAACUGCUAUGACUGCUUUAAAUAGUGAGGUAACAUCUCUUAUUUGUAAUUAGCUUUUCUCUUAUCACAUAAUCUUUGAGCUAUGUAUUCUUUCUGGCUUCGUAAGUACAUGAAUUUUUUUUAUUCUUGUUUACUUUGUGCAGAUUGCACAAUCUUUAGUUGCAAUCAAAUAAUGCCUAUUUAUGUCAUGAAGUUUUAAACUUGAUCUUUUGUCUUAGAUUUUUUCAUCAUUGAAAUAAUGCAUCAUGAACAGUUUUAACAUUAGCUGAUUUGUGUAAAUGUUACAAUGUUGAUUAGUUUGACAUUAGAAGUGUGGUAAAUGAAGCCUUUACUUGAUGAGUUUUUUUAUAUGAAUGUAAAGUAGAAAUGGAACUUCAACAUAAAAGUGAUAAUACUUCAAGCUCUCAACAUAGAAGAACUAAUACUUCAAGCUUUGAAGUUAGUCUCAUGAUAUAGAAAGUCAGGUUGUAUUCUAGACGAAACAUCAAUUUGAUGAAUUUAGGUACUUAACAGCUAAGCAUCUGAUAUGUCCUUUGUUUAGUGUUUCUUAGUUUAGGAAUAGAAAUCAGUGUUGGUAACUGAUAGAGAUGGAAGUUGGUUUUAUUAUUAUUAUUAUUAUUAUUAUUAUUUAGGAAAAAGAGCAAUCCUUGUUGAUUAGGGUUAGCAUUUGCAACUUGUUUAUGUUUUUGACAUAUGUGUUAUCUAGUUUGUAGCAACAAUACAAUUCUGUAAAUUGAUGAAAGGCCAGUGUAGUUGUGCUUUAUAGAGCUUUUUUUUUUGCAUCUAAUGAUAGAACAUCCUGAUUAGCAUCAAAUAGUUGGUAAUGCAAAGCUUCAUUCUAUCUUGAUUAAUUUCUUUGAAACUUUGAAAUGAAAGAACUUACAUUUACUAGGAUUUCAGUUGUGAAGGAUCAAAUUGCCAAAUCUAAUCAGUGAAUGAGACCCAACAUUCAGUUUGUUGGGGCCAAUGCAUCCCAUGGUAUCUGUGCAGAAUACUACAUUUAUGUUUCUCUGCACAACUAAAAAUUCUAUUGUACAUUGAUUGUCUAUGUCACUGACUGACCUCUUCUACUUGCUUUUAGUUUUAUAAUACAUAACCGUAUACUUGUGAUCCUUCGAGCCUUCCAAAAUAUCCUCCAAGCAAGGAGAUGGAUGCCAAAAUGAGAGAUGAAGAAGCUAGAAGUGAAUAUGGCUAGGAAUGAAUAUAUAACACACAUCCAUCAAGGAAUUGAAUCUGACAAUGAUCCAAAUAAUACUACUAUGUUUAUGGGUGGAUUAGAUUCAAAUGUCAUACAUGACAUUCUGUGGCAAACAUUUAGCCUUUAUGGGGAAUUGGUAUAUGUUAAGAUACCUAUAAGCAAGCUAAGUCGGAUUUUUUUACUUUUGUAUA